rnacentral:rRNA from 1 species
AUACGGAGGGGGCUAGCGUUGUUCGGAAUUACUGGGCGUAAAGCGUACGCAGGCGGAUUGUUAAGUUAGAGGUGAAAUCCCAGGGCUCAACCCUGGAACUGCCUUUAAAACUGGCAAUCUCGAGUUAUGGAGAGGUAAGUGGAAUUCCUAGUGUAGAGGUGAAAUUCGUAGAUAUUAGGAGGAACACCAGAGGCGAAGGCGGCUUACUGGACAUAUACUGACGCUGAGGUACGAAAGUGUGGGGAGCGAACGGGAUUAGAAACCCUUGUAGUCC